UGGGGAAUAUUGGACAAUGGGGGCAACCCUGAUCCAGCAAUGCCGCGUGUGUGAAGAAGGCCUUCGGGUUGUAAAGCACUUUAGGCUGGGAAGAAGGUGAGUUGUUUAAGAGAUGAUUCACUUGACGGUACCGGCAGAAUAAGCACCGGCUAACUCUGUGCCAGCAGCCGCGGUAAUACAGAGGGUGCGAGCGUUAAUCGGAAUUACUGGGCGUAAAGGGCGCGUAGGUGGUUUGUUAAGAUUGUUGUGAAAUCCCCGGGCUUAACCCGGGAACUGCAACGAUGACUGGCGAGCUUGAGUAUUGUAGAGGGUAGUGGAAUUUCCGGUGUAGCGGUGAAAUGCGUAGAGAUCGGAAGGAACACCAGUGGCGAAGGCGGCUACCUGGACAAAUACUGACACUGAGGCGCGAGAGCGUGGGGAGCAAACAGGAUUAGAUACCCCCGUAGUCC
rnacentral:rRNA from 1 species